rnacentral:rRNA from 1 species
UACGUAGGGGGCUAGCGGUGUCCGGAAUCAUUGGGCGUAAAGAGCGCGUAGGCGGCUGGAAUAGUCCGGUGUGAAAUCCACAGGCUUAACCUGUGAAUGCCGCUGGAAACUGUCUGGCUAGAGUCCGGAAGGGGCGAGUGGAAUUCCUGGUGUAGCGGUGAAAUGCGCAGAUAUCAGGAAGAACACCCAUGGCGAAAGCAGCUCUCUGGGACGGUACUGACGCUGAGACGCGAAAGCGUGGGGAGCGAACAGG